UAAGAUAAGAACUGAUACAAUGAAGAAGGAAAAAGUAGUCAUAGCUCUUCAUAUUGUUGUGGAUCGUCGUCCUUCAUAUCCUGUUCUUCUUUUACUUCUUCCUCUUCCUCUCUU
rnacentral:ribozyme from 14 species